UCGGUAGAGCAGAGGACUGAAAAUCCUCGUGUCGGCGGUUCGAUUCCGUCCCGAGCCA
rnacentral:tRNA from 1 species